UUCUCUCUCUGACAAAAGAACUCAGAGUAAGUAAGAAAUGGUACAGACGAAGAAGUUCAGAGGUGUCAGGCAACGCCAUUGGGGUUCUUGGGUCGCUGAGAUUCGUCAUCCUCUCUUGUACCUUUCUUCUUUCUUUCCUUUUUUCUAUGUUGUUCAUUUAUUCCCCCUUUCUGAUGCAUUCAGUACACAACCAAACACACACACGCUAACAUAUAUAUACAUGAUCGUUUUACUCAUCUGCUUUCAUCUCUUUAGCUAACACAUAAACCCCAUUUUAAUAUUUUAUUGCUUAUACGGACUAUAUUGUAUAACAUGCAUGAUCAAAGGAAACGGAGAAUUUGGCUUGGGACGUUUGAGACGGCAGAGGAGGCAGCAAGAGCCUACGACGAGGCUGCCGUUUUAAUGAGCGGCCGUAACGCCAAGACCAACUUCCCCCUCAACAACAACAACAACACAGGAGACACAUCGGAGGCCAAAACCGAUAUUUCAUCUUCUUCUUCAUCAUCUUCAUCACUCUCUACCAUCCUCAGCGCUAAACUGAGGAAAUGCUGCAAGUCUCCUUCGCCUUCUCUCACCUGCCUGCGUCUUGACACAGCCAGCUCCCACAUCGGAGUCUGGCAGAAACGCGCCGGUUCCAAGUCUGAUUCCAGUUGGGUCAUGACGGUCGAGCUCGGUCCCGCUAGCUCCUCCCAGGAGCCUACGAAAAAUGCUUCACAAGACGAUGUUGGUCCAUCCACUCAGGUUGGCGGCGGUGGAGGAGGAGGAGAAGAAGGAGUAAUGGACGAGGAAGAGAAAGUUGCUUUGCAGAUGAUAGAGGAGCUUCUCAAUACAAACUAAAUAUUAUUUGCUUAUAUAUAGCUAUUUUUAUUGCUGAUUUACAGCCAUAAUUAUUAAUUAUACCUCCCAAGAACAAUGUUCAUCACGAACAGACUAAACACGUUAGCAGGAAACUCCACUUCAUCAGAGACAUCAUCGAGAAAGGGGAAGUGACAGUUGAGAAGAUACACACUUCGAAGAACCCUGCAGACAUAUUAACUAAGGUCGUUCUUGUGAAGAAGUUUGAAGCGGCUCUGAGGGUUCUCGGAGUGGCCAAGCACUGAGGUGUUUGGCAUUGCCUGGCAAGACACGAGAUGGCAACAUGGUAGCUGCAGAUAAAGCUGAUUAAUCAUCAAGGUGGAGAUUGUUACGUUGGUGAUGAAGAAUCAGUUAUAUUGGAAGCUUGAACCAGUCGAGAUUGACAAUUGGGUUAUAUGGCGUUUUGGGUUAAACCGCCGGUUAGAUAUUACUCAAUGGUUUACGGUUAUUGAAAACCGGUUAUCAGUUGUAACUAUCCUUGCCUAAUAUAAAAGCAAAGCUCGUGAGUUGCAUUAGUUAUCAGAGAAAGAUAGAUUGUACUAGGGUUACAAACUUUAGGUCACGGCCGUUGUGAUCUUGGAAGAGUUUAGUAAUUUGCCUUGCCAGGCCCCAGAGACGUAGCCACAUCGGUGAACUAUGGGUAAUCAAUUAAUCUCUGUGUGUGCUCCUGUUCUUAUUUCGUUUCUCUUUCGUUCUCUUGCGUGUUUGUGUUCCUGAGUGUUUUUCCGUGAGAGUUCGUGUCGCGAAUUGUGCAACGUCGGUUUGAGGUUGAACAGCUUCGCAGUUCAUAUCUAACAUCAAACGAACUUGAUUCCUAACAAUGUGGACAAUUGAUUGGGAUGUACGUUCGUAGGUAUGCUAAAAACAAUGUACACGGCCAUGUGACACUUGUACAACUUGUGCCUUCCCUACAUAUAUACGAUCUUAUCUUCGAAAUUUAAAUAGUUUUACACUUAUAACCAUACAUCCUUAACCUUAGCAAUCACUCUAUACCAACAACUCCAGCUAAAUUCUCUCUCUGUAAUAGACUAGCUAGCGAGGACGUCACAAAUGUAAUAAGGGUAAGAACAAGUACAAACCUUUCAUCUACCAAAAUUUAACCAGUGUAUAUAAAUAUACAACAUUACUAUUUACCAAACAUCCAUCUUACAUAUACUACUCGUCAUCAAGAAUUCAUGUUCUCUCUCUGACAAAAGAACUCAGAGUAAGUAAGAAAUGGUACAGACGAAGAAGUUCAGAGGUGUCAGGCAACGCCAUUGGGGUUCUUGGGUCGCUGAGAUUCGUCAUCCUCUCUUGUACCUUUCUUCUUUCUUUCCUUUUUUCUAUGUUGUUCAUUUAUUCCCCCUUUCUGAUGCAUUCAGUACACAACCAAACACACACACGCUAACAUAUAUAUACAUGAUCGUUUUACUCAUCUGCUUUCAUCUCUUUAGCUAACACAUAAACCCCAUUUUAAUAUUUUAUUGCUUAUACGGACUAUAUUGUAUAACAUGCAUGAUCAAAGGAAACGGAGAAUUUGGCUUGGGACGUUUGAGACGGCAGAGGAGGCAGCAAGAGCCUACGACGAGGCUGCCGUUUUAAUGAGCGGCCGUAACGCCAAGACCAACUUCCCCGUCAACAAC
rnacentral:lncRNA from 1 species